rnacentral:lncRNA from 1 species
AAAAUUCCCCAAAUUAUGGUAUUUUUAGACCUGGAAUAUAUUUUGAUGACAAAUUGCUAAACCGAAUCUAUGGCAUAGGAAACUAAUCAAGGAUAUGAUUAUUCUGCGUUUUUCUUUCUUUUAUGCGGUGUAAAAGUAAUAAAAAGGCGUUGAAAAACAUGAAGCUGAUAUCAUAAUGGGCCCUACGGCCCACUUGCCUCCUUCCUUCGUAACCUCCUUCUCCUCCUCCACCUAUAUAAACAAGAGCAAGCUCCCUUCAUCAAUCUCACGCCUCCCCUUUCAUCAAUCUCUAUUUUCUUACGCAUUCUCCCGAGAAGCCUCACAUUCUCUUCCUCCUCCUCAAAACCCGGAUCUCUGCAUGAUAAGGGAAUAAAACUCGUUCUUGAUUUCCCUUUUUUUCUUUCUUUUAAUUUUCACCAGUUUUCACCUGAAGCAUUCACCGUGGAGAUUCUGGCAUCGGGUCGGGGCGCAAGAGGUGGGUUUCACGGCGGAGACAGAUCCAUCUUCCCCCUUCUUCUGAGGGGAUAGCCGAGGCUCCGGCCUCGGCGGUUUUCAAGCCCCUACCUUUACAAAUUCCCAGAUUCAAUAGUUUUUUUUCUCCUCCGUCGUGAUGCCUGCUCUAGCUUGCGUCGAUACCACCGCCUUUCCCCCGCCGCCGUCCGUUGUUUCCGACACCUCUUGCCGUUGGAACUCCUCCCUCUCCGCCGCUCUUUACCGGAUCGACGGAUGGGGAGCUCCCUACUUCACCGCCAACACCUCCGGCAACAUCUCCAUCCGCCCUCACGGAUCCAACACUUUGCCCCACCAAGACAUCGAUCUCUUGAAAGUUGUUAAGAAGGUAACGGAUCCUAAGCCGUUAGGCGGUUUGGGAUUGCAGCUCCCGGUUAUCGUCCGGUUCCCCGACGUUUUAAAAAACCGGCUCGAGUGUCUCCAGUCCGCGUUCGAUUUCGCGGUUCAGAGCCAGGGGUACGGUUCUCAUUACCAGGGCGUGUAUCCGGUUAAGUGCAAUCAAGACCGGUUCGUGGUGGAGGAUAUUGUGAAAUUCGGAUCUGGUUUCCGGUUCGGUUUGGAAGCUGGGUCUAAACCGGAGAUUCUCCUCGCUAUGAGCUGUUUGGUUAAAGGUAACCGCGAGGCUUUUCUUGUGUGUAACGGUUUUAAAGACGUUGAGUAUAUAUCUUUGGCUUUGCUCGGGAGGAAGCUUGCGUUGAACACUGUGAUUGUGCUUGAGCAAGAGGAAGAGCUUGAUUUGGUUAUUGAUCUGAGCCGGAAGAUGAAUGUGAGGCCUGUGAUUGGGUUACGAGCUAAGCUGAGGACCAAACACUCUGGUCAUUUCGGGUCAACGUCUGGUGAAAAGGGAAAGUUUGGUUUGACCAGUACUCAGAUUGUUCGUGUUGUGAGGAAGCUUAGGGAAAGUUGUAUGCUUGAUUGUCUCCAGCUUCUGCAUUUCCACAUUGGGUCGCAGAUUCCGUCGACGGGUUUGCUCUCUGACGGUGUUGGGGAAGCUGCUCAGCUUUACUGCGAGCUCGUGCGUCUCGGUGCGGGUAUGAAGGUUAUUGAUGUUGGUGGCGGUUUGGGGAUUGAUUACGACGGGUCUAAGUCCGGAGACUCGGACCUCUCCGUUGGUUAUACUCUCGAGGAGUAUGCUGAAGCUGUUGUGGCUUCUGUUCGGUCUGUAUGCGACCGGAGAUCCGUGAAGCAUCCGGUGAUAUGCAGCGAGAGCGGAAGAGCUAUCGUCUCUCAUCACUCAGUGUUGAUCUUUGAAGCUGUCUCAACGGUUAAACAUCAAGCUGAUCAUGAUGAUAUUCAGUUUUUGCUCGAAGGUGAUGAUUACGAGGAGCUGUACUCUGCUGUGAUGCGUGGGGAUCAAGAAAGGUGUUUACUUUACGUUGACAAGCUGAAGCAGAGAUGUGUUGAAGGCUUUAAAGACGGUGUUUUGAGCAUUGAGCAGUUAGCUUCUGUUGAUGGGUUAUGCGAAUGGGUUUUAAAGGCUAUAGGCGGGUCGGAUCCGGUUCAGACUUACAAUAUCAACCUCUCGGUUUUCACCUCGGUUCCUGAUCUUUGGGGGAUUGAGCAGCUGUUUCCUAUAGUCCCCAUCCAUAAGCUCGACCAGAGGCCAAUACAGCGAGAGCGGAAGAGCGAUCGUCUCUCAUCACUCCGUGUUGAUCUUCGAGGCUGUUUCCGCGGCUAAACCAAUGGCUCAGGAGGCUCAUCAGGUGAACCACGAUGAUAUUCAGUUUCUGCUUGAAUGUGACGAGGCUAGAGUUGAUUACGAGGAUCUAUACGCUGCUGUGAUGCGUGGGGACCAAGAAAGCUGCCUCCUUUACGUGGACAAGCUGAAGCAGAGAUGUGUUGACGGUUUCAAGGAAGGUGUUUUGAGCAUCGAGCAGUUGGCUUCUGUUGAUGGGUUAUGCGAGUGGGUGUUGAAGGCUAUAGGGGCGUCGGAUCCGGUGCAGACUUACAAUAUCAACCUUUCGGUUUUCACUUCGAUCCCUGACCUCUGGGGGAUUGAUCAGCUCUUUCCUAUAGUUCCUAUCCAUAAGCUCGACCAAAGGCCAGGGGCUCGCGGGGUCUUGUCGGAUUUGACGUGUGAUAGCGAUGGGAAGAUUGAUAAGUUCAUAGGCGGCGAGUCCAGCUUAGGUUUCCGCCUCGGGUGGUUUUUUUUUUUUAAUAAACUGAGACCAAGCCCAAUAAACCAAACGAAGCCCAGAAACCCAAAGCAUUUGAUUUUGUGUUUGGUUUUGUCCGCGACCCAGAAACCCAAUAAAAAAAAAUCGAUGUCCUACGUGGAUUAAUCAAAUGUUAUGAUUGGGUGAAUAUAAUUGCCUACGUGGAUAGGCUUAAAACACACUAUUUGUUCCUUUUAGUAUAGAGUAGAUUGUUGGUAAAAGGAAAUAAAACUUAAUAUGGUGAUUUAUUUUAUAGAUCGCUGACAGAAAUUAAUUGACAUGCUUCCAAGUUAAAGGCAUGGUCCGUGAAGUUAUGCCCAUUAAAAUACGGGUUGCAGCAUCCAAUAAAACGGCACACGUAUCAUAACCUGCUCCGCCACGCGGCGACUGCUAGCCAAGUGUUCGUGACCAAAAGAGAAUCUUGUUCUUAUAAAAAAUAUUACUCCCUACAUUUCUUAAAGAUAUAUAUUCUAAAGAAAAAAUUUGUUUCAAAAAAAUUCAUUUUUUUAUUUUUAAUAUAUAUUUUAUUAAUUAAUUGCAAACUUCAAAAAACCUAAUUGCACUAAUUGGUUUUUUAUUAGCUUAAAAUUAUAGAAAAAAAAUAAACAUAAAAAAUUAUACAAAUUUAAUGUGUUUUAUUAAAAUGUGUGAAAAAACUAGAAUAUGGAUAUUUUAAAAACAGAUGAAGUAUAACAAAACCCCAAGAGUACCCUAAACCCAUUAAUUAUUAUACUUCAUCCGUUUCAGUAUAUAAAUAGUUCUAUAAGGUUUUUAUUUGUUUCGCAAUAUAAAUUACUUUUAAAGUCCAAUGCACAAUAUAAUAUGAUAAAAUUUGAUAAAAAAAUAAAAAUUUGUCAUUGGCUCCAUUUUCCUUUUAAUUAAAUGCUAAAGCUAUAAAUAUGUUUUCUUAAAUGCUUGUGUUUUUAUGCAAACUACUUAUAAAUUGAAACGGAGAAAGUAUUGUCAUAAUUUUAUAUUCUUUCCGUUUCGUAAAAAAAAUAUCACUUAUCCAAUAAAACGGCACACGUUUCAUAACCUGCCGGCGACUGCUACCCAAGUGUUUGUGACGAAUAGAGAAUCUUUUUCUAUAAAAAGUACUAUAACAAAACCCCAAAAUUGCUAUGUGGAAGUUGUGAAUGCCGAUACAAACAGAGUAGCCGAGAAGAUCGCUGCCAGUGUUACUAAAGAUGGACGGUUUCAAUCUUAUAUAGCUCGUGGAGGUCCAAGUUGGCUCAAUGAUAUCAUUCUUGCAGAGGCUUCCAAUUCUCCAUCUUCAUACCAAAGAUAAGGCUGCAACGGUCUCUCUUACGGAAGUAUGAAGCUUUGGUUUCUACACAUUUCACCCUUUAUAGGGUAUUUUUUUUUCAAGCACCUAUUGGUGUAGGCUUUGAUGUGUUUUCGUCUUCUGCUGUUUUCUUUUCUCCGACAAUGAGUUUGGAGAUCAAACAUUGAAUUUAUUUCAAGGAUAUAAAAAAAAAAAAAACCCCAAACCUAUAUUUUAUCAUAAUUUUUGCACCCUUUUUUCAUAAAAAUAUCAUUUAGAUACAUUUUACGCAGAUUAAAAAUAAUAGAAUAUACAAUUAUUAAAAUAAAACGAUUUAAUUAAAUAUUUAUUGAUUAUUUUAAAAAAUAAAAAAUAACAUUAAAAUUAUAUUAAAAAUGUAGAAUAACACUUUUUUGAAACAAAAUAAAAAUCUAGAAUAAUUUUUUUAUGAAACAAAUGAAUUAUUUUUUUAAUGUCUAGCUAUUACAGUCUAUAAAAUGUUAGAUGAUUCUAAAAUUGACAAUUUUAUAUGUCUUAUCCACCACGCCUGACGGUAUUUUUCAAGGUUCUAAAAGUUGGUCUAGACGGCGCCUAAGCGGUAACUCGAUUAUAUCCGAUCUAUUUUUUUCUAAAUAUAUUAAAUUAAACAAUAAUAUUAUUAUAAAUAUACAAAUUUGUCUAAUUUUUUUUUAUUUGUAUAUCUAAUUUUUAUUCAUCACAAUAAUUUCAUAAUUAAACUUAAAAACUAAAAUAUGUCAUAGAAAUGUAUAAUAUAGAUAAAAUAAAUCAAUAAUUUGCUAACGAUUAGGUUUCGGCUAGGCCCCAGAUAAUUCGCCUAAUCACUAAUCUUUCUAUAAAACGUAGUUACCUCCUAGCGAUCUUCAGAACAUUGACAUUUCUUAUAACAUGCUGUAAUAUUUUGUAACUAUUUUCUCUAUAAUAUGCAUAACUUACAUUCUUCGAAAUUUUUACUACAAACCGUAUAAUAUAAAAACAUUAAUAAACUCUUAAUCAAACUAUCAGAAUUAAGGAUUUUCACAAAAUAAUUUAUAUUUAUAUAUUUUAUCAAGAAUUUUAUAUUUAUAUCUCAAAAUGCAGAAUUUGGAAAAGGAAACAUGUGAUGCCAAGUGUAGAGGAAAUAUAUUUAGAAAACUAAACGUUGCCAGGUAAUGUCAAAAAAAUAUAGACCAAUAGAACAGGAAACCAUUUACUUUCUUUUUCAAUUUAACACACGUAUGAAUUUCAGUCCACAUGUUGAAAAAAGAAUAACUCUAACAUAAAUGAGUAAGAUACAUAUUCUUAUAAAAUGAUAAUUUCCUUUUCAUUUAUUUUGAAAAAUUCCCCAAAUUAUGGUAUUUUUAGACCUGGAAUAUAUUUUGAUGACAAAUUGCUAAACCGAAUCUAUGGCAUAGGAAACUAAUCAAGGAUAUGAUUAUUCUGCGUUUUUCUUUCUUUUAUGCGGUGUAAAAGUAAUAAAAAGGCGUUGAAAAACAUGAAGCUGAUAUCAUAAUGGGCCCUACGGCCCACUUGCCUCCUUCCUUCGUAACCUCCUUCUCCUCCUCCACCUAUAUAAACAAGAGCAAGCUCCCUUCAUCAAUCUCACGCCUCCCCUUUCAUCAAUCUCUAUUUUCUUACGCAUUCUCCCGAGAAGCCUCACAUUCUCUUCCUCCUCCUCAAAACCCGGAUCUCUGCAUGAUAAGGGAAUAAAACUCGUUCUUGAUUUCCCUUUUUUUCUUUCUUUUAAUUUUCACCAGUUUUCACCUGAAGCAUUCACCGUGGAGAUUCUGGCAUCGGGUCGGGGCGCAAGAGGUGGGUUUCACGGCGUAGACAGUUCCAUCUUCCCCCUUCUUCUGAGGGGAUAGCCGAGGCUCCGGCCUCGGCGGUUUUCAAGCCCCUACCUUUACAAAUUCCCAGAUUCAAUAGUUUUUUUUCUCCUCCGUCGUGAUGCCUGCUCUAGCUUGCGUCGAUACCACCGCCUUCCCCCCUCCGCCGCCGUCCCUUCUUUCCGACCCCUCUUGCCGUUGGAACUCCUCCCUCUCCGCCGCUCU